rnacentral:rRNA from 1 species
GAUUAAGUGUAAUAAGGGUAUCCGGUGGAUGCCUUGGCGCUAAGAGGCGAUGAAGGACGUGGUACGCUGCGAUAAGCCGUGGGGAGGUGCGAACAACCUUUGAUCCGCGGAUUUCCGAAUGGGGAAACCCACCUUCGAUAUCUGUAAUUCCGAAGCCUUCGGCUUCGGGAACGAAGCUGCAUGGUUUUGGACUUACAGAUAUCAACAGAAGGUAUUUGUGCCUGAAUACAUAGGGUACAAAAGCAAACCCAGGGAACUGAAACAUCUAAGUACCUGGAGGAAAGGACAUCAACGAGACUCCGUUAGUAGUGGCGAGCGAACGCGGACCAGGCCAGUGCCUCAGUGUUUUUAAUCGGAACCGAUUGGAAAGUCGGGCCUUAGUGGGUGAUAGCCCCGUACGGAUUUCGAAACAUUGAGGACUUGAGUAGGGCGGGACACGUGCAAUCCUGUCUGAACACGGGGAGACCACUCUCCAAGCCUAAGUACUCCUUAGCGACCGAUAGCGAACAAGUACCGUGAGGGAAAGGUGAAAAGCACCCCGACGAGGGGAGUGAAAUAGUUCCUGAAACCGGAUACCUACAAACAGUCGGAGCCCAAGGUUCGUCCUGGGUGACGGCGUACCUUUUGUAUUAUGGGUCAGCGACUUAAUUUGACGAGCAAGCUUAAGCCGGUAGGUGUAGGCGCAGCGAAAGCGAGUCUGAACAGGGCGUUCAGUUCGUCGGAUUAGACCCGAAACCGGGUGAUCUAGUCAUGAGCAGGUUGAAGGUAAGGUAACACUUACUGGAGGACCGAACGGGUGCCUGUUGAAAAAGGCUCCGAUGACUUGUGAUUAGGGGUGAAAGGCCAACCAAACUCGGAAAUAGCUGGUUCUCCGCGAAAUAUAUUUAGGUAUAGCCUCGCGUGAAUACUCCAGGGGGUAGAGCACUGGAUGGGUGAGGGGGGUUCACAGCCUUACCAAGCCUAACCAAACUCCGAAUACCUGGAAGUAAUGCGCGGGAGUCACACAGUGGGUGCUAACGUCCAUUGUGGAGAGGGAAACAACCCAGACCAACAGCUAAGGCCCCUAAUUCGUGGCUAAGUGGGAAAGGAUGUGGAAAUCCCAAAACAACCAGGAGGUUGGCUUAGAAGCAGCCAUCCUUUAAAGAAAGCGUAACAGCUCACUGGUCUAAAUAAGGGUUUCCGCGCCGAAGAUGUACCGGGGCUCAAGCCACGAGCCGAAGCUUUGGGCGCAGCAAUGCGCGGUAGCGGAGCGUUCCAUAAGCCGUCGAAGGGACAGCCGUGAGGCAUCCUGGAGGUAUUGGAAGUGCGAAUGCUGACAUGAGUAACGACAAACACUGUGAAAGACAGUGUCGCCGUAAGUCCAAGGGUUCCUGCGUAAAGUUAAUCUUCGCAGGGUUAGCCGGUCCCUAAGGCGAGGCCGAAAGGCGUAGUCGAUGGGAACCACGUUAAUAUUCGUGGGCCAGUGGGUGGUGACGGAUUGCGAAAGUUGUACGGGAUUAUUGGAUUUCUUGUGCAACCUGGUGGUCCCAGGAAAUAGCCCCCACAUUAGACCGUACCCCAAACCGACACAGGUGGACUGGUAGAGUAUACCAAGGCGCUUGAGAGAAUGAUGUUGAAGGAACUCGGCAAUUUACCUCCGUAACUUCGGAAGAAGGAGGCUCUAGGGUCUGACGCCUGCCCGGUGCCGGAAGGUUAAGAGGAGAGGUUCACGCCUUGAAUCGAAGCCCCGGUAAACGGCGGCCGUAACUAUAACGGUCCUAAGGUAGCGAAAUUCCUUGUCGGGUAAGUUCCGACCUGCACGAAUGGCGUAAUGACUUCCCCGCUGUCUCCAACAUCAGCUCAGUGAAAUUGAAUUCCCCGUGAAGAUGCGGGGUUCCUGCGGUCAGACGGAAAGACCCCGUGCACCUUUACUGCAACUUUGCACUGGUAUUCGUGUUAGCAUGUGUAGGAUAGGUGGUAGACUUUGAAGCUUGGGCGCCAGCUCAGGUGGAGUCACCCUUGAAAUACCACCCUUAUUGACAUGGAUAUCUAACCGAGCUCCGUCAUCCGGAGCCGGGACAGCGCAUGGUGGGCAGUUUGACUGGGGCGGUCGCCUCCCAAAGAGUAACGGAGGCGCGCGAUGGUGGGCUCAGAGCGGUCGGAAAUCGCUCGUUGAGUGCAAUGGCAUAAGCCUGCCUGACUGCGAGACAAACAAGUCGAGCAGAGACGAAAGUCGGUCAUAGUGAUCCGGUGGUCCCGAGUGGGUGGGCCAUCGCUCAACGGAUAAAAGGUACGCCGGGGAUAACAGGCUGAUACUGCCCAAGAGUCCAUAUCGACGGCAGUGUUUGGCACCUCGAUGUCGGCUCAUCACAUCCUGGGGCUGGAGAAGGUCCCAAGGGUUCGGCUGUUCGCCGAUUAAAGUGGUACGUGAGCUGGGUUCAAAACGUCGUGAGACAGUUUGGUCCCUAUCUGCCGUGGGUGUAGGAGAAUUGAGAGGAUUUGCCCCUAGUACGAGAGGACCGGGGUGAACGUACCUCUGGUGGAGCUGUUGUGGCGCCAGCCGCAGUGCAGCGUAGCUAUGUACGGACGGGAUAACCGCUGAAUGCAUCUAAGCGGGAAACCCACCUCAAAACGAGUUCUCCCUCGAGAGCCGUGGAAGACGACCACGUUGAUAGGCCGGGUGUGGAAGUGCAGCAAUGCAUGUAGCUUACCGGUACUAAUAGCUCGAUUGGCUUAAACAC